CCUACGGGGGCAGCAGUGAGGAAUUUUGCGCAAUGGGGGCAAUCCUGACGCAGCAACGCCGCGUGGGUGAUGAAGGCCUUCGGGUCGUAAAGCCCUGUCAGGUGGGAAGAAUGUCCCGGGACUGAACAGGUUUCGGGAGUGACGGUACCACCAGAGGAAGCACCGGCUAACUCCGUGCCAGCAGCCGCGGUAAUACGGAGGGUGCAAGCGUUAUUCGGAAUUACUGGGCGUAAAGCGCGUGGAGGCGGUCCUGCAAGUCGGAUGUGAAAGCCCCGGGCUUAACCCGGGAAGUGCAUUGGAAACUGCAGGUCUUGAGUACUGGAGAGGAUGGGGGAAUUCCCGGUGUAGAGGUGAAAUUCGUAGAGAUCGGGAGGAAUAUCAGUGGCGAAGGCGCCCAUCUGGACGGUAACUGACGCUGAGACGCGAAAGCGUGGGGAGCAAACA
rnacentral:rRNA from 1 species